GUUUCAUACACCAAUCCGAGUCUUCACCAUCCCCCCGACCUUCGCCAGCAUCUUCCUCACCAAGGAGGCCACGCUGUCCUGCCUGGUCACGGACCUGGCCACCUAUGACAGCCUGAGCAUCUCCUGGACCCGCCAGAAUGGCGAGGAGGUGAAAACCCACAUCAACAUCUCUGAGAGCCACCCCAACGCCACCUUCAGUGCCACAGGAAAGGCCACAGUGUGCGUGGAGGACUGGGAGUCGGGCGAGAAGUUCACCUGCACGGUGUCCCACACGGACCUGCCCUCGCCAGUGAAGCACACCAUCUUCAAGCCCAAGGGAGUCGCCAAGCACAUGCCCUCGGUGUACGUGCAGCCGCCCAGCCGGGAGCAGCUGAGCCUGCGGGAGUCGGCCUCGGUCACCUGCCUGGUGAAGAGCUUCUCGCCCCCAGACGUGCAUGUGCAGUGGCUGCAGAGAGGGCAGCCCGUGUCCUCCGACAUGUAUGUGACCAGCGCCCCAGUGCCAGAGCCCCAGGCCCCCGGCUUGUACUUCGCCCACAGCAUCCUGACCGUGAGUGAGGAGGACUGGAGCGCCGGGGAGACCUACACCUGCGUCGUGGCCCACGAGGCCCUGCCGUACUCGGUGACCGAGAGGACCGUGGACAAGUCCACCGGUAAACCCACCCUGUACAACGUGUCCCUGGUCAUGUCUGACGUGGCCAGCACCUGCCACUGACCCCAGGCUGCCCCUCAAGGGCGGUCCGGAGCCUCUGGCUGACCUGUCACUGUGUGUGCAUGUAUGCAAACUGGCUGUGUCAAUGGGGUGGGGUGUUGCAUUCUAUAAAAACUAGAAAUAAAAAGAUCCAUUCAAAAGA